rnacentral:snRNA from 1 species
AUACUUACCUGGCAGGGGAGAUACCAUGAUCACGAAGGUGGUUUUCCCAGAGCGAGGCUUAUCCAUUGCACUCCGGAUGUGCUGACCCCUGCGAUUUCCCCAAAUGUGGGAAACUCGACUGCAUAAUUUGUGGUAGUGGGGGACUGCGUUCGCGCUCUCCCCUG